GCGGGAAUAGCUCAGUGGUAGAGCACCGGCUUUCCAAGUCGGGGGUCACGGGUUCGAAUCCUGGGUCCCGCU
rnacentral:tRNA from 1 species